CAUUACGGACCUCCCUAGGACCCCAGCGAUCCACGC
rnacentral:tRNA from 1 species